UCGGGAAUUUUGGGCAAUGGGCGAAAGCCUGACCCAGCAACGCCGCGUGAGGGAUGAAGUAUUUCGGUAUGUAAACCUCGAAAGAAUGGGAAGAAUAAAUGACGGUACCAUUUAUAAGCUACGGCUAACUACGUGCCAGCAGCCGCGGUAAUACGUAGGGAGCAAGCGUUGUUCGGAUUUACUGGGCGUAAGGGGCGCGUAGGCGGCGCGGUAAGUCACUUGUGAAAUCUCUGAGCUUAACUCAGAACGGCCAAGUGAUACUGCUGAGCUAGAGUGCGGAAGAGGCAACCGUAAUUCUUGGUGUAGCGGUGAAAUGCGUAGAUAUCAAGAGGAACACCUGAGGCGAAGGCGGGUUGCUGGGCAGACACUGACGCU
rnacentral:rRNA from 1 species